AUCUUUGGUUAUCUAGCUGUAUGAGUGUUAUUCAUUCUUCAUAAAGCUAGAUAACCGAAAGUAACAAGAAUCCCAUUACACACCUGAAAGGCAUCACCCCACCUUGAGAUCUGUACUCCUCUCCUCUUCUCUUUUUCCUCCUAAAUCUCCCUCACUCUCUCUCCUCUUCAAUCUCUGCAUCUUUUUGCGAGAGCAAGUCACAAAAUGGCCCCCAUCACUGCUGAUAGAGAAGACCAACCAUCCUUGAUGCCAGGGAAAGGAAAGAGUGAAGAAGCGGGGCAGGUUGGUUGUGUGGCUGUCGUCCUGCUGGCGUUGCUGCUCCCCUCCCCUUCGCUGCUCGCCUGCCCCCUUCCUCCCGUCACGAGAUGCAGUUUGCACAAAGCCACCAUCUUAGAGCAAGCCGGGCAUUAAAUGGAAGUGGAAAAUAAGCAGGUUUUUAGAGUCAAGACAAAUAAUGUGAAAAUCCAUUAAAUGGAGGAUCAGAGUGGAAACGGGCUGCUGGAGUCAAACGGGUCUUUACUAUGCAUGUGCCCCAACAUCAGAUAAAAGACAGCACUUUAAUUGUUCUACGUGACUUCAAUCAUUGGCAUUUCUCAAGCAGUUAUACCAUCUAAUGUUCUAAGGGCUGUAUGUUGCGAGUUUAGCGUGUGUGUGUGUGUGUGUGUGUGUGUGUUGAGAAUAUGAGAAAGUCUUUGUACGGGUCUGGGUCAAAGUACUCAACAAAUUGUGUAUUUGUACAAAAGCACUUGUUUAGGAUUCUCCAAAUAUAUAAAGAUUAUAUUCGGGUAGUUCUAUAGUGAAUUUAAUGAGGGUUUUCUAGAAAAUGUCAUUUUUAAAGGCCAAUCAUUUAGCUAAUCAAUUAAAGAAAGCGAUUUAAAAAAUGUCUUCUAAUAAAUUGAACGUAGUUUUAUCUAGUCUGUCUUGGUACAAUCUUUAGCAUAAUGCACUUUAUAACACGCAAACGGUUUUGUUUAAGUUCAGUAGUUUUCAG